UUUUCUUUUAAAUGUAACAGUUUCUUCCUUGUGAGGUAAUGCGGAGCCCGUGCGUACCCAGAAUCCCCGAGGUCUCGCGUGGCGUGUUUCCGGUGGCUGUGCUCCCGCGGCAGCGGCAGGGCGAGGCUCGGACGAGCGUCAUCCGCUUUUCUCAGCCCCCGCUCCGGCGGGACCCUCACCCGUUUCCCGUUUCUCUCCGCAAAUUAACAGUUUCCUUGUAUUUUGUGAUUGUAAGAAGAAUACUGCUUUUUAAAAAAAUGCCUACUCCCUGCAACUGUCCAGUAUUUUUUGGCAUCCCUUAAAUUUUGCAUUAAGGGCAGAUGUCUCACUCGCCCUGCUUCCUCACCCUAGACCUGGUCCUACCACGAGGAGUCAACUUACUUCACAGAUUAACAUGGUGUCUGACUCAAAAACAUUCACAACUCUGAGAUCACCACUAUCCGCAUUUCACAGAGAGAAGAACCUAGGCUUUGAGAAGUUAAGGUAACCUGCCCACGGUCACAUGGCUAGUAAGUGACGAGUUUAAGAUUGAACUCAGGUCACACAUCUCUCCAAAUUAAAAACCAUGCAGAAUGCAUGUGUAUACAUUUAUCUAAGUGCAUCAAGAUGUACAGUUUAAAUGGGUGAAUUUUAUCUAAAUCAUACCCCAGUAAAGUUAAUUUUUAAAAAUCAUGCAGGAUGAAUGUGAUGUUUUUAUGAUAAAACUCAUCCAAGAAAGAGCACUAUGAUGAUUUCACACCUGACAGUUUCUGAGGAAAAAGGGAUGGAGAUGACACAUGUAUGUUAUUAGCAUACACACUGAAAGACUGGUGACACCACAGACUAGAAUUGUUCAUUCAGGUGACCUUCCCAAACUUAAGAUACAUAUAGAAAUAUCAACCAGGAUGCUACCAUGUGUAAGAGACAUGCAAGUCUCUUGUGGAAAUCAACCAAGCAAAUGCAAAAUUGGAAAAGACAUUUGAAGUAUGUGAUAUCAAAAUUGUCUAACAAAAAUAUGUCCCAAGUACUGAGCAUUAAAAAGUUAGAUACUUUUGC